rnacentral:lncRNA from 1 species
UUUUUUCACUACAGAAAGUGUUAUCAAUUUUGAUAGUGAAUAAUGCAUUUCAUUUCAUAAAAAAACGAGUAUUUUAAUUAUUUUUUAGGGAUAAUGCAUUUGUUACGGUCGGCGGGAAUAAAAAAGCAUGAAAAGUGAAUUUUAUUUUUAUUCUGGAAAUCGGCAAAAUCGGAUCGGCGGAUCCGUAAACCAACAAAUUAAAAAAUUCUGGCCUUA